AGUAAAUAGAUACCCAGGUAGUCCACGCCGUAAACGAUGUCGACUUGGAGGUUGUGCCCUUGAGGCGUGGCUUCCGGAGCUAAACGCGUUAAGUCGACCGCCUGGGGAGUACGGCCGCAAGGUUAAAACUCAAAUGAAUUGACGGGGGCCCGCACAAGCGGUGGAGCAUGUGGUUUAAUCGAUGCAACGCGAAGAACCUUACCUACUCUUGACAUCCAGAGAACUUAGCAGAGAUGCUUUGGUGCCUUCGGGAACUCUGAGACAGGUGCUGCAUGGCUGUCGUCAGCUCGUGUUGUGAAAUGUUGGGUUAAGUCCCGCAACGAGCGCAACCCUUAUCCUUUGUUGCCAGCGGUUAGGCCGGGAACGUCAAACGGAGACUGCCAGUGAUAAACU
rnacentral:rRNA from 1 species